UACAGAGGGGGCAAGCGUUGUUCGGAAUUACUGGGCGUAAAGGGCGCGUAGGCGGCCUGCUAAGUCGAACGUGAAAUCCCCGGGCUCAACCCGGGAACUGCGUCCGAUACUGGCAGGCUUGAAUCCGGGAGAGGGAUGCGGAAUUCCUGGUGUAGCGGUGAAAUGCGCAGAUAUCAGGAGGAACACCGGUGGCGAAGGCGGUUCUCUGGGCAUUACCUGACGCUGAGGAGCGAAAGUGUGGGGAGCGAACAGG
rnacentral:rRNA from 1 species